CCUACGGGAGGCAGCAGUAAGGAAUAUUGGACAAUGGACGCAAGUCUGAUCCAGCCAUGCCGCGUGAAGGAUUAAGGUCCUCUGGAUUGUAAACUUCUUUUAUAAGGGACGAAAAAAGGUCUUUCUAGAUCGUCUGACGGUACCUUAUGAAUAAGCACCGGCUAACUCCGUGCCAGCAGCCGCGGUAAUACGGAGGGUGCAAGCGUUAUCCGGAUUCACUGGGUUUAAAGGGUGCGUAGGCGGGCAGGUAAGUCAGUGGUGAAAUCCUAGAGCUUAACUCUAGAACUGCCAUUGAUACUAUCUGUCUUGAAUAUUGUGGAGGUAAGCGGAAUAUGUCAUGUAGCGGUGAAAUGCUUAGAUAUGACAUAGAACACCUAUUGCGAAGGCAGCUUACUACGCAUAUAUUGACGCUGAGCACGAAGACGUGGAGUACAACAGAUAGUAUACCUACGUAGUCACGACCGUAACCGACUAGAGUACUCGACAUACG
rnacentral:rRNA from 1 species